UACGUGAGGGGCGAACGUUGUUCGGUGUCACUGGGCUUAAAGGGCGCGUAGGUGGCUGCGUAAGUAAGGUGUGAAAGCCCUCGGCUUACCCGGGGAAUUGCGCCUUAUACUGCGCGGCUUGAGGAUUUCAGGGGAAGGGGGAACUCCGAGUGUAGCGGUGAAAUGCGCAGAUAUUCGGGGGAAGGCCGGCGGCGAAGGCGCCCUUCUGGGAAAUUCCUGACACUGAGGCGCGAAAGCGUGGGGAGCAAACAGG
rnacentral:rRNA from 1 species